UGGCAAGUUGAAAUUCGCCGGGAGAGAGAGCGAUAGUAAACUGCCGCGCUCAUUGUUCGUUAUGGGAAGUCCCCGAAGAGAACAAAGACGAACAGAAAAGGAAAUGUGUGGUGGCCGAGGUUCAAAACAAUGGAGUAAUGCCUUACUCCCGCCGACAUCCCGUUCGCCGAGGAGCGUAUGUCUUGAAAGUGAUCUGCGGCUACGCUGCAUUGUGUAACGUGCAAUAAAGCAAACUACGAGUAACUAUA